UAUUUAGGACAGAAACAUCCAAGGCCGUGUUAGAACUCAGUUACGACUACAUAUGCGUUAAAGCAGGAACUGGCAGGCCUCUGAACUACAGCAACUAUAGGACUCGUGCUUCUAGUGCACGGGGCUAUAAUUUAUGAAACUGAGCCCCAGAUCCAGCCAAUCACUUAGCUCCUCAUAACAAGUCUAACUGGCUCUGGAAAGCUGAAAGGACUGCACUAGAACAACAAAGAUGAGAUAUUCCACACAAUAAUGUGCUUAUGUGGAAUCACAUUUCCCUGCAAGGCCAGAGAAAAAUCACAGCUUCGCUGUCGGAGGGAAGGAGAACAGAUGACCUGGAAGAAUGUGACUAGAUAUGGAGCAAGAUCUUGUCUGGCAUGGCAAUCCCAACCGUGCCUGCAUUAAGGGACCAAGCUACCCCCGGAAGUCCAAGGGCAACUACAGCAGCAAAGCCGGAGUGCUGCUACCUAUGAGGACUACCUGAGAAGCAAAACUUCUAAGGAAGUGGGUUUCCUAAAUGUUGUUCCCUUUACUCCCAGAUAACAUGGAUACUCUAGUCUAAAAUAGUUUCCUAUUCCCUUAAUAAAAUUCCAUUAAAAUCCCCUUCAACUCCUA